rnacentral:misc_RNA from 1 species
GGAUUAUAUAAAUAUCAGCUCAAUAAACUAAUAGUCAUAGCCAAUGUCAAGAAUUGAAUAACAGAUGUGCAGCUCGCAUGAACUUAAAGUUCCAAUGCCAAAAUUUUGUUUUAAGUUAUGAUGGCACAAGUGUAUAACCAAAUAACCUCAUACUUGAUAUCGUUCUAGAAAACAAUACAUCAUCGGAUGGAGGCGAAAAUAACAAAAAACAGAAACAACACCACGCUAAGGAAAACAUCUCUCCACUAAACUGAUGAACAUUUAUGCGUGUAUCUGAACAAAGGACCAACUUCUGUUCCAAUAAAUACUGCGGAGGGCCACAUGUUUGUGUUGCCACUGCUCUAGCAGGGUGCAAUGGAAACCUCGUAUGCUCAACUUAAAUUGCCUCUUCUGAGUUUGCCUAUGCUGUUUAUGCACUAUCAGCAACAGUAGGCAGUGCAGUAAUUUUCCCCACAGCAACAGUUUUCCCUUCAGUGCGAAGAGUGAAUCGUCCAAGUUGAGCAAAGUUGGAGAAUUUCUCUACACAUAUCAUAUUAUUCACCUGAACACGGCAUAAAACAAUAGCGCCAUUCUUAACAAACAGAGGUUUUUUCUUCAUAGGUUUCUUCGUUUUUAGAUCAAUCUGCUGCAUCAGUUCAACAAUCUCACACUCCUCAACAACCGCAUGGACAUGCAAUACAGCUUUGUAUCCAGCAGUAAAAAUAGCAUUGUCCAACAGCUCAAGAAUCUGUAACUGCGCAACAAACUCAGUAACUGCAGGUAUUGGCUUUGCAACACUGCACAAGACAAAGCCUGACAAAAGGUCAUCUUCCUCAACUCCAGAUAACCUAACACGCACAUUUUCUCCGGGACCAACAUGCCUUACUCGAUCUUCAUCACAGAAUAUGGCAAGAACUUUUACAGCAGCCUUGUUUGGCAUAAUCAGUAGAUUAUCACCCUCACGUAUGCUUCCAGACUCAAUUUUACCCAUAACGACAGUUCCCAUGUCUUUAAAUUUGUCAAUA